ensembl:lncRNA
CUCUAGGCGCCGGUUCACUCCUCAUAUUCUCCUCCGGCUGUCAGCGGUGCGCAACGCAGGGCAGCGUUCUCACGAUUGAGAGGCGUUGCGCCCUAGCUCACGAAAACACAUCGAAACGGUCUCGCCUUUGACAUUGACAGUCUGGGGAAGUUUAAACAUUUACCCUGGAUAUCCGUCAGCGCGACAUGGUCAUCAGAGAAAAAAUUCUGACUUGAAAACAAGGAAUGGCUAAGAUGCUGGUGUAGUGCUGCGGUGUCUGACAUUACUUCUUAGGACCCCACAGGGGCCUGUUCAGGCAGCAUUCCGCCAGUGUGGGAUCUCAUUAGAAAACCUGUGGACACGCAACGCCAUCCGCCCAGUGAGCC